AAUAGUGAAACAAAUUAGCAGUAGGGCCACCAAGAGAGUACAGCCAACCCUAAUUCAUAGAUGUCUCAGUUUAUCAGUUUUCUGUCAAUCACUAAAACAAGAAAGGUGAAACAUGUAAUUAUAUAUAAGGAGACAGAACUUCUAAUUCUCCCAUUCUAGCUGAAGCAUAGAGUUUUAAUUGCUUGGAAAAAUAAGAUUUUUGUUUU
ensembl:misc_RNA